rnacentral:rRNA from 1 species
UGUAAAUAGCUUGUUUAAAGUUUGGGGAAUAUAGAAGGAAGUUAAGAAAAAUAAUUUUUAUAAUUUUAGUAAUUUUUAAUGAAAAUUAAGUAAAGACUAAAGAGAAAAGUACUGUGAAGGAAAGUUGUUGAGAUUUUAUAUAGAAAAAGUAAAAUUUUGUGCCUCGUGUAUCAGAAAAAAUUUAUAUAAUUUAGUUAAUGGUAAGUAUCUCGAAAUAAAAUAUAGUAAUUUUUAUAAAAUUUUCUUUUUAGAAAAAAAGAAUUUAAUAUAAAAUUUAAAGUGAAAUGCUAGCUGAGUUUUAUGAUAUCUAGUUUUUUAAAAAAUAAAUUUAAUUUAAUUUUUACGAAGAAAGAAUUGUAAAAUUAAAUGGUAGGGGGGAUUAGCUCUUUACGGAAAAGUCAAUGAAAUAGGUAGAUAUAAAGAAAUUAUAUAAAUUAGGCUUAGAAGUAGCUAUAUUGAAAAAGUGUUUUAACUAAAUUAUAAUUACUUGAAUAUUUAAGAUAACUUUUGUUAGGUAUUAAAAAAACGGUUUAAACAAAAUAAAACGAAAUAUAAUGAUUUUAUUAGUAAAAUUUAUUAAGUAAAUAAAAAU